rnacentral:rRNA from 1 species
UACAGAGGGUGCAAGCGUUAAUCGGAAUUACUGGGCGUAAAGGGUGCGUAGGUGGUUAUAUAAGUUAGGUGUGAAAGUCCUGGGCUUAACCUGGGGACUGCGCCUAAUACUGUGUAGCUAGAGUACUGUAGAGGGAGGUGGAAUUUCCAGUGUAGCAGUGAAAUGCGUAGAUAUUGGAAGGAACAUCAGUGGCGAAGGCGACUUCCUGGACAGAUACUGACACUGAGGCACGAAAGCGUGGGGAGCAAACAGG